rnacentral:rRNA from 1 species
GAUGAACGCUGGCGGCGUGCCUAAUACAUGCAAGUCGAGCGAACAGACGAGGAGCUUGCUCCUCUGACGUUAGCGGCGGAAGGGUGAGUAACACGUGGAUAACCUACCUAUAAGACUGGGAUAACUUCGGGAAACCGGAGCUAAUACCGGAUAAUAUAUUGAACCGCAUGGUUCAAUGGUGAAAGACGGUUUUGCUGUCACUUAUAGAUGGAUCCGCGCCGCAUUGGCUAGUUGGUAAGGUAACGGCUUACCAAGGCAACGAUGCGUAGCCGACCUGAGAGGGUGAUCGGACACACUGGAACUGAGACACGGUCCAGACUCCUACGGUAGGGAGCAGGAGGGAAUCUUCCGCAAUGGUCGAAAGCCUGACGGAGCAACGCCGCGUGAGUGAUGAAGGUCUUCGGAUCGUAAAACUCUUUUAUUAGGGAAGAACAAAUGUGUAAUUAACUAUGCACGUCUUGACGGUACCUUAUCAGAAAGCCACGGCUAACUACGUG